rnacentral:rRNA from 1 species
UGAGGAUCCAGGUUGAUUCUGCCAAGGAAGCACACUAAGGCCAUAGAUUAAGCCAUGCAAGUGUUAGUUCAGGCAACGAAACUGCGAACAGCUCAUUAAUACGCUCAGAACCUAUUUGGUUUCGACCCCUCGGGGUACUAAAGGGACAGCAGAGGUAAUUCCUGUGCUAAUACCUGCAAAUUAUCCACCUUAAGUGAGUUAAGGUGAGGACUUGACCGUUAGGCAUACCAUUCGGUUGGGCGCCCUAUCAGCUUGUCCGCAGUAUCUUUUACUGUGGAGGCAAUCACGGGUAACGGGCGGUUAUCGUCGGACUGCCGGAGAAGGCGCCUGAGAGACAGCGGCUAUUCCCAUGGGAAGCAGCAGGCGCGAAACUUACCCACUCUUCAACGAAGGAGGUGGUAAUGGCCAGUUCCAUCUUGUCGAUAAGACGGGCGGAUAGGCUCACACUUUUCCAGUGUGGGGUAACCUAGGAGAGGGCCAGUUCUGGUGCCAGCAGCUGCGGUAAUUCCAGCUCUCCGAGUUUGCUCCCAAUGUUACGUUUGAAACGCCCGUAGUUUGAGGUUCAAGCUCGAAUAGAGCGUUCACCGUGACCAAAUCAGGAUGCUUAAAGUAGUUCAAAACUGAAUGACUCAGCACGGUAUGAGAUUUUUACCCCUUCGGGGGUCAGAUCAAAGAGAGCUAUCGGGGGUAGAUCUAUUUCAUGGCGAGCGGCGGAAUGUGUUGACCCAUGAGAGAGAAACGAAUGCGAAAGCAUCUACCUAGAGAGUUUCUGUCGAUCAAGGGCGAGAGCCGCAGGAUCCAACCGGAUUAGAGACCCGGGUAGUUGCGGCCUUAAACUAUGGUGACGGGGCCUCAUCCGCGGGUGGGGUCCUAAGCGAAAGCUGGAGUGGUUGACCUACGGGGGAACUACGAUCGCAAGGUUGAAACUUGAAGGAAUUGACGGAAGAGCACACCAGGGGUGGAUACUGUGGCUCAAUCUGACUCAACGCGGAGAAACUUACCAGGACCAGAUAUUUUUAAUGACUGACCAGCUAAAGACUGUUCAGGAUAUGAUUUUUGGUGGUGCAUGGCCGUUGGUGGUGCGUGGAUUGAUCUGUCAUACGUCGAUUCAGAUAACGAGCGAGACUACCACCGAUUAACUAGACGCCUUCUCUGACGAGGGGGUUGCCUUCUAAUUGGGACUCCCUGCGUUUAAGCAGGCGGAAGAGGGUAGCAAUAACAGGUCCGUGAUGUCCUUUAGAUGCUCUGGGCUGCACGCGUUCUACAAUGCUAGAAUCACAGGGAUGCUAACCUGAGAGGGUUUGCUACUCCUUUAAUCUCUAGCGUAGUUGGGAUUGACGAUUGUAAUCAUCGUCAUGAACCAGGAAUCCCUUGUAAACGCGUGUCAACAUCGCGCGUUGAAUACGUCCCUGCUCUUUGUACACACCGCCCGUCGCUCCUACCGAUUGAGUGGACCGGUGAAAUCAUUGGACGGCUUCGGUCGGAAGGUGAUUAAGCCUGUACACUUAGAGGAAGGAGAAGUCGUAACAAGGUAGCUGUAGGUGAACCUGCAGCAG